UACGUAGGGUCCGAGCGUUGUCCGGAAUUCUGGGCGUAAAGAGCUCGUAGGUGGUUUGUCGCGUUGUUCGUGAAAACUCACAGCUUAACUGUGGGCGUGCGGGCGAUACGGGCAGACUUGAGUACUGCAGGGGAGACUGGAAUUCCUGGUGUAGCGGUGGAAUGCGCAGAUAUCAGGAGGAACACCGGUGGCGAAGGCGGGUCUCUGGGCCUGUACUGACGCUGAGGAGCGAAAGCGUGGGGGAGCGAACAGG
rnacentral:rRNA from 1 species